rnacentral:lncRNA from 1 species
AAUUUUGACAGAGGUGAGCAGUUGAAAAAAAAAAGGGUAAAUAGCCAAAAUGGUCCCUGAGAUUCGCAUAACUCAUCACUUUGGUCCCUAAGAUUCCAUCAUUUUGGUCAUUCCGUUAAAAACUCCGUUAAGUGUCCCGGAGCUCUUGGCCAGAAGUUUGGGCAAUUUUCAAAGCUUCGUAACUCAAUCCUUUCUUAAUCAAAUUCGACCCAUAAUAUAUCAAAAUGAAGAUAGGAAAUUGUAGAAUAAGAUUAUACCUAUUUUGAAGCCCAAUGGUUACCGGAGAUUGCCGGAAAAUAGCCUCAAAGUUGACUGGUCCGAGUGAAAACUUGACAACUCGCUGGAAACUAGGUAAAGUUUAAACGUUCAGAACUUCUUCAAUACUCAACGAAAUCAAGUGAUUUAGAAACGAAAAUCAUACUUCUC